rnacentral:rRNA from 1 species
CUCCGAACAUUCCAACAUCAAAGAACCUAAGAGACGGGAAGCCGAGGUAAGCUCGGUUUCCGAGAGGGGAACAACCCAGACUAUAGUUAAGGUCCCUAAAUACUGACUAAGUGUGAAAGGGUGAAAAGUGUCUAUCGUCGAAGACAGCAAGGAGGUUGGCUUAGAAGCAGCCAUCCUUUAAAAAGUGCGUAACAUCUUACUCGUCAAGAUGAUAGGCCUUUAAAAUGGACGGGACUAAGUCAGUUACCGAUACUAUAGAAUGCUUAAAAAGCAAUUAGUAGGUAGGCGUCCUAUAAGGGCAGAAGUAUUUUCACAAGAGAAUAUGGACCUUAUAGAAAUGAGAAUCCUGGCGGUAGUAGGAUCUUAGUACUGUAAGAAUCAGUACCACUGAAAGGGCAAGGGUUCCUUGGCAAUGCAAAUCAGCCAAGGGUUAGUCGAACCUAACCUAACCCAUAAAUUGGGUUAAGGGAAAGGGACAAAGGUUAAUAUUCCUUUACUAUUCUAGUAUGCGUGGCAACACAAGCUUUAUUCUUGACAUUUCUGAUUAGGCUAAUGCAAAACGUCUUUUACAUCAACUGGAAUAAAUCAGGGGAGUAUCGUAAUGAUGAGAACCUGAUUAAAUCCGGGAUGAGCAUUCUUAUGGGAUGUUUAGCUGAUAUCUGGAAUCCGUGAAAAGAGAAUAGAGAAAAAACUGGAAUAUUCGUACCAAGAACCAGCACAGGUGCCCCUAGGUGAGAAGCCUAAAGUGUGUAGGAUUAAUCUAGUUGAGGGAAUUCGGCAAAUUAGCCCCGUGCCUUCGGUAGAAGGGGUCCCUGCAAUUGUUGUUAUGCAAUUGAUUGCAGGGUGCAAUAACUAGGGGGGUCCGACUGUUUAACAAAAACUUAACCGACUGCUAGCCUGUAAAGGUGUAUAUAGUCGGUGACACCUGCCCAGUGUCUGUACUUUAAACUUCCUUCCAAGGAAGCUAAGAGCAGGUAAACGGCGGGGGUAACUAUAACUCUCUUAAGGUGAAUUACAUUGCUUUAAGACCCAGGUUAAACAGAUACACAAAAGACGGGAUACAAAUUGGACUAAAUGCUGGAACUACUCAGAAUAUUAUGAUAGGAUUUUUCAUUGGCAACAAUGGAAUGACCCCUGAAAAUUCAUAAUUGGAGUAAAUCAGCAGGAAAGACUUCUCUUUGAGAAGUAUCCUCAGAGACUAUAUGUCCAACUCUUAAAUGAGAAGAUAUAGUCCGACCCUUGUAGCGAUACAAGGAAGCAAUCAGAAAUGAUUGUUCGCCAUCCAUGAUGGUUAGUACCUCGAUGGGAAGUAACAGUAGUGAACGUAAUACCUUGUCGUUUGAUUGACGACUUGCAUGAAUGGUGUAACGAGAUCCCCACUGUCCCCAAUUAGAAUCCUCCGAACACUCCAUACUGGUGCAAAGGCCAGUGAUCUCCAGUGGGAAGCGAAGACCCCGUGAAACUUUACUACAGCCUAUUGUUGCGAUGUGGGUUUUGAUGUGUAGUGUAGGUGGAAGUCGCUAAAGCUUGAUCGUCAGGUCAAGUGUAGACGUCAAUGAAACACCACUCUUCAAAACCUAUGUUGCUUAUUCCGUAAGGAAAACAGCGGUAGGUGGGUAGUUUGGCUGGGGUGGCACCCUGUUGAAACAAUAUCAACAGGACCCAAAGGUUGGCUCAUGCGGGUCAGGAAUCCGCAGUUGAGUGCAAGAGCAUAAGCCAGCCUGACUGUAUUCCUAACAAGAUUGAAUGCAGGCAUGAAAAUGUGGUCUAGCGAACCUCUAUGUCCUCAUUGAUUGGGGCUAGAGAUGAACGAAAAGUUACUCCGGGGAUAACAGAGUUGUCGCGCCUGAGAGUUCAUUGUUGCUUGCGAGUUCGUUCGCAAGCUCACGAACAGAUCGACGGCGCGGCUUGCUACAUCGAUGUCGGCUCUACCUAUCCUGGAAGUGCAGAAGCUUCCAAGGGUGCGGGUGUUCACCGAUUAAAAGGUAUCGUGAGCUGGGUUCAGAACGCUGUGAGGCAGUUUGUUUAAUAUCUAUUGGAGAUGUAUGAUGUCUGAAAGGAAGGAAGUCAUAGUACGAGAGGAACUGACUUUCGAAGCCGCUGGUGUACCUGUUAUCUGUUAAGGUAGGCAGGGCAGCUACGAUUUAAGGGAUAAGAGCUGAAAGCAUCUAAGCUCGAAACCCGCCUUGAAAA